UACGGAGGGUGCGAGCGUUGUUCGGAAUUACUGGGUGUAAAGGGUUCGUAGGCGGUGUAGCAAGUCGGGAGUGAAAUCUCUGGGCUUAACCCAGAGGCUGCUUCCGAAACUGCUGUGCUGGAGUGUGGGAGAGGCGCGUGGAAUUGCAGGUGUAGCGGUGAAAUGCGUAGAUAUCUGCAGGAACACCCGUGGCGAAGGCGGCGCGCUGGACCACUACUGACGCUGAAGAACGAAAGCUAGGGGAGCAAACAGG
rnacentral:rRNA from 1 species